CCGACGCCUCUGCCUUAGCCAUCUCGCGCCGCCACCACAGCCGGUCACCGCGACUCCUCUUGUGGGCUCGUGACACAGCCGACUCCCUGCUGCCGGUGCCCUAUUUUGGGUUCACAGUCAGCCGAGCUCUCCUCACAGCAGUGCCGCAGACCUCCAUCUCGUGUGCCCUAGGUUUGGAUUGUGCCGCCGCUGAGUUUGCUUCGCCGACGCUGUGCCCUAACAUUUUCGUCGGCCACAGUGAAGUAAUCAGCAAGGAGUUUGGGUUUGUGGAUGAUUUUGGGUUCCGGCAGCUAUCCCAUUUAGCAGCCUACUUAAUUGUCAACAGCAACACACUGCGACCGGGAAUCAAGAAACUACAGGCUGUGAAUUGAGGACUUUGACGCGAGACGAGUAUCUCGGAGUCAGAUUGGACCUUUCUAUUUCGGAGG